ensembl:lncRNA
GGUCGGCAAGACUGUUAAUCACAGAAAUGGUUCUGUUAGCCAUGACAGCUGAAUCCACGGCAAAGCACGCAGGACGACGCUGGCAUACACAUGACGUCAUCCUUCCUUCCAGAUCCCCUGGAUUAAUAUUCCAAUAAUAGGAGAGAAGGGGCUGGCUGAAGGUUGAGACGACAUCCCUCCAUGUAUUACUCACCAUUUCACCACAUGACCUGGGCAACCCAGUGCUACACAGUGAGGGGCUAGUGUACAGUAUCUAAUAUAUACCUUGCAGAGCUGUUUCUUGUAGUGGUAAGAUGCAUCUUUAUAGUUGUUAUUAUAGGUUAAUAGCUUUUUUUGGUGUACAUGUAGCUUUCUAUUAUGACUUAAUAUACAUCUAUUAAAUCAACAUGUCAGCUUGAUAAAUUGUUUUUCUUAGUUUUAACCACACCUGCUCAUGUAUUCAAGGUUUAUAUAAGGAACCAUUCAUUUACAUUGUUGAGGGUACGCUCACCUGAAGGCCACCCCUCCUCCAACACAUGCGCUGUGUUCUCCCCCAUCCACGCUUCCCCUGCAGCUGUCGACCCCCCUGACCUCCUGGUCAAAUCAAUAGCUCUCCUCUCAGGCCUUCUGCUGGCAGCCUGUGCGUGCACACCCUCCAGUGACAGAUGGCGUCAAAGGAUCAUGGCUGUCAUUGUCCUCUGAUGGCUAUUUGUGUGUGUGGAGGACAGCCGUUACUGAAGGGAGAGACUGAAGCGGCUCCGCACACCACUGAGGCCCCCUAGACAGUGGAGGAAUCAGGGCUGCUGCUAGAUUCACUGAAACACCUGAGAGCGAGCUGCUCAUCGACCCACCCCCUUUACUUUAGAUAACCAGUAUGCUAGGAACAUGGCCAGCCAUUCACAUCUCAUCAGUAUAUUAGUGACAGGAAUGGAUUUCCUAACACACAUCAUUGUGUCAUACAGUAGUGAUUCUGUUCAUAACAAAGGCCUGAUUUUGUUCCUAAUAUUUCUGUUGUGUUUAAAGUAAGGAAUUAGCCAUUAAGAAAAAAAAUAAAGAAUGAGAGAAAAAUAAUAAUCA